GAUGAACGCUGGCGGCGUGCCUAAUACAUGCAAGUCGAGCGAACGGACGAGAAGCUUGCUUCUCUGAUGUUAGCGGCGGACGGGUGAGUAACACGUGGAUAACCUACCUAUAAGACUGGGAUAACUUCGGGAAACCGGAGCUAAUACCGGCUAAUAUUUUGAACCGCAUGGUUCAAAAGUGAAAGACGGUCUUGCUGUCACUUAUAGAUGGAUCCGCGCUGCAUUAGCUAGUUGGUAAGGUAACGGCUUACCAAGGCAACGAUGCAUAGCCGACCUGAGAGGGUGAUCGGCCACACUGGAACUGAGACACGGUCCAGACUCCUACGGGAGGCAGCAGUAGGGAAUCUUCGGCAAUGGGCGAAAGCCUGACGGAGCAACGCCGCGUGAGUGAUGAAGGUCUUCGGAUCGUAAAGCUCUGUUAUUAGGGAAGAACAUAUGUGUAAGUAACUGUGCACAUCUUGACGGUACCUAAUCAGAAAGCCACGGCUAACUACGUG
rnacentral:rRNA from 1 species